ACGGUCUCACUCUCAGUGUGGAUUUCAAAGAAGGGGAGUGUGGACAGUGCUCUUCUAUGUCUACACAAAUCAUGACAACUCUCUCUCCUCAGGUUUUCAAAAGAAAGAAAACCAAGCAGCCACAAGUGUUCAGCAGCAUUGCUUGGAACCCCAGCUUAAUGAGCACCCUGCCCUUUGGCUGGCACACAUCAAGGAGACACGGGUGGGUACCCGCCAUCUGCCUUGUCUUUGGUCACCUGAAGACACACCAAAGUCCCUGGAAGGCGUGAAAAAUGCUACUGGCACACCCACCUCCCUGGGUCCACAUACAGCAUCCAAAGAGACUUGUUAAACAGCUUUCUAAGAACAGGGACUCCUGCAGCUAGCUACAGCACCCCAGAGCAGGGCACCGGUCAGCAGGAUGGAACAUUUGUCUAGGAAACUCUGAGUGUCUGGCCUGAGAGAACUGUAUGUAAUCUGGUAAAUCGAUGUAAUUGUAGAAAUGACUCAGAAGUGCAAGCAAGUGACACACCCAAGCCACGUUUCCCCACCCAGGGUAGUUUCUUUUCUUUUCUUUUUUUAUGAAUAGGAUUUAACUUUCUUGUUCUGUGCAUCUUGGUCACCUCUCUCCUCUUCUAGAAGCAGCCUACACCACCUGUUCUUUUUCCUUCGGGAAGCUGUACUUUCUCCAAUAGCCCCAGCCUUUCGAUUUGGGUGGGGUCCACACACUUAGCCUGUACCUUAGUCUUGUGUAGCAUUGCUCAGCUUCUGCCAUCUGUCUGCCGUCCCGCACCCCAUUAGCAACUACGCAGCGUGCCUUAGGUGUUCAGUUAAAGCUGCUGGGUGGCUACUCUGCUCUUCAUUCUCACUUCUCUUCCCCUCUGGUGUUGGCUUUACUUUCUUUCACUGCGAGGCAACUAACAUUUUCGUAGAGUGUAAAGAAGUAAACAUUAUCGGGUAUUACAUCAAAACUCUAAUGCCUUCAAUCAGAAGUGAUAGAAACAAUGGUUCUGGUCCACCAAAACCAAGGCAGUUCAUAAAACAAGUUGACUUGUUGGUGGAUCCAUGAGAGCCACAGAUGCCUGGGCUGUAGCUUAGUGGUAUAUGCGAAGCUUCUACUUCAAUCCCAGCACAGCAGGACCAAGCAGACAUAAGAGAGUCA
rnacentral:lncRNA from 1 species